rnacentral:piRNA from 1 species
UUGCACCUGAGUGACGACGCCCA